rnacentral:misc_RNA from 1 species
AAGUCGUAACAAGGUUUCCGUAGGUGAACCUGCGGAAGGAUCAUUAACACGUAUCCACGUUUUAUCAACAACUACUAAGAACUGUGCUCCCUAUUGAAUAACAUGAAAGAUUGUUGUAAUCCUGUCUUGGUGGGUCCCUGUUCUGUAAAAGGUUCAGUGUGGCUGGCAGGCGUCAACUACCACUCCUUUGAGAGUGAAUCAAUCGACUUUUCAGUAGGCUUAUUAACUCUUACCUCGCGUGGUUAACACCGAUCCCUACCAUCAUAGGGCCGGGGAUAAGGACAACAUACCAAUUUCACCCUAUUUUACCUAUUUGACUAAUACAAACAUUCAUUGGAGAAAUCCUUUGAAUGACUAAGAUUUAUCUUAACUAAGCACAACUCUUAGCAAUGGAUAUCUUGGUUCUC